CAAGUACCUACAUACAUUAAAGGUACUAAUGGCUGAAUACAAGUACCCACAUGCUGUAAAGGUACUAAUGACUGAAUACAAGUACCUACAUACAUUAAAGGUACUAAUGACUGGAUACAAGUACCUACAUGCAGUAAAGGUACUAAUGACAUACAAGUACCUACAUGCGACAAGGGUACUAAUACCACACUGCAAGUCCAAAUACAUACAUGUAGUAAAACUAUUAAUGGAACACUACAGGUAAGAGUACAUAAAUGUAGUGAAGGUACUAAUACCACAUUACAAGUUCAAGUUCAUGCAUAUAGUAAAAAUAUUACCAGAAUAAAAGUAAAAGUACUUAAAUGUAGUAAAAGUAUUGAUAGAACGUUGCAGUUAAAAUAAUUCUUUCAGGAAAAAAAACAAUAAUAAUUAAUAAUAAAUAUUCAGAGUAGACUAAUAUUUGUGUAUAAUAAAUACUCAUAUAUAAUAAAUGUAACUCUUCAUAAAAGAAAAUCUCCAAAACAUUUUUCUUCAGAAACAUUUUUCCUCUUUCUAUUCCAAGAAAAAAAAAAGGUAUUU
ensembl:lncRNA